rnacentral:lncRNA from 1 species
AGCCUCGAGCCGAGCCGGCUCGAGCUUUUUCCAGGCAUAGCUACGAGUGGCCCGAACCGACGAGCUCAAUUGUCAUCCCUAACCCACAACCACCAUCACCAUCACCAUAACCAUAACCAUAACCAUCAUCAACCACCACUGCUAGAUCCACAAUGCAAGUCAGCACCUCCACUUACAUCACCAACAAAAAACCAUCCCAAACCUUCCAACAACAUCUAAAUAUGGAAACCACCUCCAC